CGAACAGGAUUAGAUACCCUGGUAGUCCACGCCGUAAACGAUGAGUGCUAAGUGUUAGGGGGUUUCCGCCCCUUAGUGCUGCAGCUAACGCAUUAAGCACUCCGCCUGGGGAGUACGGUCGCAAGACUGAAACUCAAAGGAAUUGACGGGGGCCCGCACAAGCGGUGGAGCAUGUGGUUUAAUUUGAAGCAACGCGAAGAACCUUACCAGGUCUUGACAUCCUCUGACAAUCCUAGAGAUAGGACGUCCCCUUCGGGGGCAGAGUGACAGGUGGUGCAUGGUUGUCGUCAGCUCGUGUCGUGAGAUGUUGGGUUAAGUCCCGCAACGAGCGCAACCCUUGAUCUUAGUUGCCAGCAUUCAGUUGGGCACUCUAAGGUGACUGCCGGUGACAAACCGGAGGAAGGUGGGGAUGACGUCAAAUCAUCAUGCCCCUUAUGACCUGGGCUACACACGUGCUACAAUGGACAGAACAAAGGGCAGCGAAACCGCGAGGUUAAGCCAAUCCCACAAAUCUGUUCUCAGUUCGGAUCGCAGUCUGCAACUCGACUGCGUGAAGCUGGAAUCGCUAGUAAUCGCGGAUCAGCAUGCCGCGGUGAAUACGUUCCCGGGCCUUGUACACACC
rnacentral:rRNA from 2 species